GACGUAGGGCGCGAGCGUUGUCCGGAUUUAUUGGGCGUAAAGAGCUCGUAGGUGGUUCGGUAAGUCGGAUGUGAAAUCUCCAGGCUCAACCUGGAGACGCCACCCGAUACUGUCGUGACUAGAGUCCAGUAGGGGAGCGUGGAAUUCCUGGUGUAGCGGUGAAAUGCGCAGAUAUCAGGAGGAACACCAGCGGCGAAGGCGGCGCUCUGGGCUGGAACUGACGCUGAGGAGCGAAAGCGUGGGGAGCGAACAGG
rnacentral:rRNA from 1 species